CUGCGGAAGGAUCAUUAAAGAAUAAUUCUUGAUCCGACCAAAGAAAGGAGGGAGAGUUGUAGCUGGCCCUAGGCACGUGCACGCUUUCUUUCUGGACUUUGGUCGUAUGGGCGCGGAGGGUCAACCUCUGCGUCUUCAUAUGCCCCUCUUCGUGUAGAAAGUCUUUGAAUGUUUUUACUAUCAUCGAGUCGCGACUUCUAGGAGAUGCGAUUCUUUGAGACAAAAGUUAUUACAACUUUCAGCAAUGGAUCUCUUGGCUCUCGCAUCGAUGAAGAACGCAGCGAAUAGCGAUAUGUAAUGUGAAUUGCAGAUCUACAGUGAAUCAUCGAAUCUUUGAACGCACCUUGCGCUCCUCGGUGUUCCGAGGAGCAUGCCUGUUUGAGCGUCAGUAAAUUCUCAACUCCUCUCGAUUGACUUCGAGUGGAGCUUGGAUAGUGGGGGCUGCCGGAGACCUGAAUAUUCGUGUUCGGGACUCGGGCUCCUCUGAAAUGUAUUGGCUUGCGGUCUGUUUUCGACUUUGCAUGACAAGGCUUUUGGCGUGAUAAUGAUCGCCGCUCGCCGAAGUGCAUGAAUGAAACCGUGCCGUGCCUCUAAUCCGUCGAUGCCUCUAUGGGGCGUCUUCUUUACGCAUUGACCUCAAAUCAGGUAGGACUACCCGCUGAACUUAA
rnacentral:rRNA from 1 species